ensembl:lncRNA
AAGCUGGUUGUAGAGGUGGCAGCUGAUCAAGCCAUGGGCAGGCGGGAUCCACUGCCUGAGUUGUAACUAGAGACUCCCCCGCAGUGUGGGGCUUGGCGAUGGGGCCACAGGCAGCAGGCAGCACCAGGCAGCCAGGCAAGCAGACAGCUGUGGCGGGCUCUGUGAGGAAGGGCAGGCCGUCCUCCCAAGAGGAGGAGCAGGUUGGCUGCAGGGCGUGAGUUGCUAGCAAUGAUUAAUUUAUUCCUUACUGGAUUUGUCAGGUGUCAGGGCCUAGGCACUGGCUGGGUGGCUGGGGAGGUGCCGAGGAUGAGAGGCUGCAGCAGGGGGGCUGGGUGACAGGGCCUCUGGGUGAGGCCCCUGGCCUGGAUGAGAUAAGGGGGCACCAAGCAGGAUGUCUUAACAGGAAGAAAACUCCCAUCAUAGCAGCCCUUAAGUGCACACGAAUCACCAGGGAUCUCUUUAAAAUGCAGAUUCACAUACGGCAGACCCAGGGUAGGGCAGGAGAGUCUGCAUUUCUAAAAAGUUCCCAGGUGAUGCCGAUGCUGCUGUUCCACGCCACACUUUGGCAGCAAGAUGAGGGAAAAGGGGAUUAAUUGUCAGCAUUCAGGGGAAGCUCACGACAUUCAAUAGCAGGAACUGGAAACCUGCAAGCUGUCAGCAGUGACAGCUUCUCUCUCUGGAGCCACAUGGUCUCUUGUCUGCACAUCUGCUCUCUUCUCCUCUCUAGCCUGGCUUCCUCUGCAAGCCUUUGUAACUUGGCUCGCCCUUGGCUGUCUUUACCACUGCCAGGACCCUGACCCCAACCUUAUGGCUCCAGCUCCUAACUCUGUCAGGCUAUAGUUUUUCUGGUCUCUUCUGACUUUUUUCUCUCUCAAGAUUCUGAUUGGCUCGGCUGGUCAGGUGUCCAUACUUGGUCCAAGAAGCUGUGCUAAGGGGCCAACAAGUAGGGCUGCUCAGGUGCUUUCAAUGGCGUCAUGGAACGCCCCCCCCCCCCCCCCCCCCCAUGGGUAGCCUCAGUCAGAUGGAUGGAGAGAAAUGCAGCCUUGAGGAACUGUUUUAAACACGUGUGAUCAGAAACUCUAGAAAAAAAGAAUUUCAGCAUAUAUUUUGGCUACUUUCCAAAAUGUGAGUUUAUUUGGAAUUAUUUCUAGAACUAGGUGGGUGGGCACCAAAAUCUUUUUCUUGUUUAAAGCCCUGGAAGGAGCGAGGGUUUGACAGGAGCCCCAAACAUGCCUCCAAGAGAAGAGGCCAGGGGGAGUGUCGCGAUGAAGGCCCUGUGGCUUGAGACAAAUGAGAAGAGAGGGAGAGAGCUGAGACGCGGGCUGUUCGCUUGGUGGUUCCUCAGUCGCCAGGGCAGCCUGACUGUGAAGGAGCUGCUGCAGCUCGCGGGAGCCCAGGAACAGUGACCCCGCCCUCGGAUCCCAGGUGCACGAGGCUGGCUGAGAUUUCAACGACAGUAGUCAGGUCUGCACAUGGGGAAAGGUCACGGCUCAUAAUAGCUUGGAUUGUUCAACCUAGACAUGUGCGGAUUAGGAAACAAGACGCAGAGAGACUCCGACCCGCUCAAGGUGAAAGUUCCACUUGGUGGCUGAGCCAGCCAAGGAUGCCUGCGUCCUGACAUCCAGCCCUGAGCUCUUCUGAAGAUGAGGGGACUCUUAAGAAUACACAAUACUUCCAGGCUUUUUGUUCCGACAGAAGUAAGUUUGCAAAGCAGUUGCGGAGGACUCUCUGAAGAAGGGCAAACAGUCCCCGAGGGGGUGGAGCUGCUGGCUCCAGGAGCUCUGUUGCCAGCAAGUAUUAAUUCACUCCGGCUGGCGCUGUCUUGGGGGCCUCCCGCGCACAAUAGCAUUAAGAGUGUUGGCAGCUGCGGAGGGAGAAGGCCCGCUCCACCUGGGAAUGAGGAAGAUGUGACUCCUCGCAAGGUUGCUCUCCUCCCAGCUCCCGCUCUUGGGAGAGAUGAUCAGUGCUUACGGGCCUGGGAGCAGGCUGCUGAGGACACAGUGUUCCCGGGGAUGGUGGCAGAUCUUGGAGAAGGGACAGAAGCUGGGCCAAGAGACUGGAACUUAUGCAAAUCAGGCCUGAGGAUGGUUCAAGGAGGGGGCAGCCCCUGCCUUAUGCCUCCCCGUCAGCAUACCCAGAACCAGACUCCUCAGGAGGAACAUCUUUUGUCUUCAAUGCUAAGCUUGUUCACGAGGAUGUGUGAUGUGGAUAAUAACACGUACCUCGUUAAUUAAAUGAGCAAUUACACACAAAAAACUUAAAAAGUUGCAGAGAAUGUGGGAAGGCCUCCAUCAAUUAUCAUUUUUCUCCAUGGAGCUCCAUUGAGAGACAUAAUGCACUGUAAAGUGCUUGGCUUUGGAGAAAGACAGAGCUGGGUUCCAAGUCCUGCCUCUGCCGUUGCCCUGCUGCAUAACUUUGGGCAAGAUGCUUAGCUUCUCAAUGCCCAAUUUUCUCAUCAACAAAAUGGAGCCACUGAUAUUUACAGCAUUAUCCCAAGGCAUAGAAAUGAUGCAUCCGAAGACCCUGACCCAUGGCGCUGGGAAAAUAGGUUUGGAGUUUGAUGAGCUGCCUGCUGCUGGCUCCUCUGUUUUCUGGCAUCAAGGUUCCUCAAUAGUGGACUCAACAGUUGCAUUUUUCACCUACAAAAGAAUUGCUAUCAGAAAACCAGACAGCGGAUAAUUGUAUUUUGUGAAUUGACAGUGAAGCCACUCGGUUUCAGCCCAGGUCCAAAGGCUGAGGAUGUUCACCCAGGAGAAAUGGUUUGUGCGAGAGAAUUCAUUUCUGAGUACUCAUUUUUACUGGAGGAAACAGGGUUGCUUGGAUUUUUUUUUUUUUUUUAUUCUUCUUCAACAUGUAGGCAGAAGGUUCAGAAUCCCUAACAGCUCUGGCGACCCCUGCUGUGUCAGUGUGAAUGCAAGAUGCCCAGUAAGACUGGAGGCUCCAGCUUCAACCAGAGCCUCAUCCAUCUCUUCAAACCUACCAGGGAAGGAAAUAAAAAUAUGUGCCCAUAAAUUUCCUCCUUGACGGGCAGCAAAUGCGCUGGCCUCCUGCCACCUGACAGUGAAACGUGAAGCUGGGGAGUGUCUCCCUGCAAGCGCACCUAGGGCUGCUCCUGCCCCCUUCUGGAGCAGGAUCAAAAUGCUUCCCAAGAAGUGCGCCAGCUGCCCUUGUGGGCCAGGCCCAGCCAUCCAAAGCUGCCGAAGAGCAACUUGGCUUCCUUUCCCUUCUCCCACUUGGACCACCAGGAUGCCUCUGCAGUUUUUUGGACUCCUGUUUUGACCAGUUAUCCCAAUUAACUUGAGCAAGAUAGAAGGAGAGACCUAUACCCCCCUCUUUGUCCGAGAAAAAAUGCACCAAGGGAGAGAGAAUGAAGACAAGCCUAUGAAUCUGUUCCCUGCACACAUCGAACUCAUUCCUAUCUCUGCGCAUGCUGUUCAACCCACUGGGAACACGCUUUCUUCUCCCAUCAGCACCCAUUUACCUAAAUUUUAUUCAUUCUUCAAGACUCCUUAAAUCCCGUCUGCUUCAUGAAGAUUUUUUAUCUGUGAGUUCACUCCCUCCACUGUCUCUUACUGUACCUACAAUCUGUCCCAGAGUUUAAUGUGACUAUAGACAUGAUUGUGUUUCUUCUCUCCUCCCUGCUUCCCUCCUGUGCCCUGCACAGUGCUGGUCCAUUAUAAGCUUCAAGAAAUGUUUGUUGAUUGACA